GACGUAGGGCGCAAGCGUUGUCCGGAUUUAUUGGGCGUAAAGAGCUCGUAGGCGGCCUGUCGCGUCGACCGUGAAAACCCGCAGCUCAACUGCGGGCUUGCGGUCGAUACGGGCAGGCUGGAGUUCGGUAGGGGAGACUGGAAUUCCUGGUGUAGCGGUGAAAUGCGCAGAUAUAAGGAGGAACACCGGUGGCGAAGGCGGGUCUCUGGGCCGAUACUGACGCUGAGGAGCGAAGGCCAGGGGAGCAAACGGG
rnacentral:rRNA from 1 species